UUGACUCUACAGGCCGCGUGAUCGGAUAGCAUACGGGGCGAGCCAACACAUUAAAUAUGGGAGCAUGGUGAAGCGACGUGGAAGUGAUAGCCUGCUUUUGUAGGCAAGACGGAAGCGUCCAGCCGGCGCCCACCUGCGAUAGCAGGUUCGCACCCACUGUCCACACGCUCCUGUGGAGUCUCU
rnacentral:other from 1 species